rnacentral:lncRNA from 1 species
UGGGUCUAUUCUUCGUAUUCCGUGGGUUCUCGUUUCCCACACAUCCAAUAUCAAUUGCAGACUCCAAUCACCAUAGUUGACUCACUUUGCCAACUGAACCAUUUGUAAGAUUAUCCAUUUCUUACUCUCUCUUUUUUACUCUCUUUUUCGGACACUUAGGCUCUUCCCGCUCUGUUUUCUCUCUCUCAGUAUUUGACUCUCCCC